GAUGAACGCUGGCGGCGUGCCUAAUACAUGCAAGUCGAGCGAACAGACGAGGAGCUUGCUCCUCUGACGUUAGCGGCGGACGGGUGAGUAACACGUGGGUAACCUACCUUUAAGAGGGGGAUAACUUCGGGAAACGGAAGCUAAUACCGGAUAAUAUCUUGAACCACAUGGUUCAAUAUUGAAAGACGGUUUUGCAUCCCCUAAAGGUGAUACCGCUUCGUAUUUGCUAGUUGGUAAGGGAAAGGCUUACCAAGGGAUAGAUUCAUAGCCGACCGGAGAGGGGGUCCGCCCAAACGGGACCUGGGACACGGUCCAGCCUCCUACGGGGGGCACCAGUAGGGAAUCUUCCGCAAUGGGCGAAGUCCUGCCGGGGCACCGCCGCGUGGUUGAGGAAGUUCUUCGGAUCGUAAAACUCGUUUAUUAGGGAGGAACAAAUUUGUAGUUAACUAUUCACCUAUUGACGGUACCUACUCAGAAAGCCACGGCUAACUACGUG
rnacentral:rRNA from 1 species